GCGCGCGUGUAUAGGAUGGCGAGAGAGAGAGAGAGAGAGAGAGAGAGAGCAGCCUGCGCAUGCGUGAUCACUCAGGUGGACGGGAAAGCUCGUUGUCCCGCACACACCCACCUGCUACAAUACAAGAAUAUGACAUGUUAGCUUAGGGUGUUAGCAUGCUGUCAGCUAACUCUGUGACUGACUGGGUGAGGUGCUGCUCCCCCGGGUGUCUCGGCGGUGAGGGACGCCAGUUCAGCCAAAGAUAACUUCAAGCUAUUUGUGGAUGCUGCAGUGCUGAACUCAAAGCAAAGCUGAGGCUGAUGGGAAUGUCCCCGCUUUGGCAGGACCAACUGAAAUAUCAGCACACUGCAUGAAAGGACAGAGAGGAAACAUCUGGAUUAACCUGCAGUCCAUCAGAUAAAAGUAACCUGCAGUCCAGAGGCGCCACAGCAGAUGCAAAUCAAAGGCUCAGAGGUAGCAGAAGUACUGAGAUCCUUCACUGAAGUACUAAUACAAGUACAAAUCCUGCACUGUAAAACAGCUUGAAGACGUCACAUGUAGAUGUCCACUUCCUGGUUCCUGUGGUGUCACUGGAAGGUCUGGAUGUGGGAUCAAUGGUCAGUGGAGUUUCCAUGGUGACGUGAGUUCAAAAUGAAAUCCAACCAGAGUCUAAGUGACUGAUGUGCUGAGGUCAACACUUGUUUGUACCAAUAUUUCUCAUGGUUGGUUUUUGAACAUUAGUUAGCAGUGGUAUUAACUGAUGAAAAGAUGAUCACCUUUGCUCUGCCCCGUUUCCAUGGUGACCUCAGGUGUGGCCUCAGCUGCACAGGAAGUGGCAUCGUUGCUAGUGUGGAUGCAGUUACUGUUUGUUUCCUGUGAACACAUAAAUAAUGUCAGACAAAUAAGA